AGUCAUUGUAGCAAUACAAGGCAGACGGCUCAGUAACGCGUAGUCAACCUACCUUAUGGACGGGGAUAACCUCGGGAAACUGAGAAUAAUACCCGAUAGAACAUUAUGCCUGGAAUGGUUUAUGUUUCAAAUAAUUUAUUGCCGUAAGAUGGGACUGCGGCCUAUCAGUUUGUUGGUGAGGUAAUGGCCCACCAAGACUAUUACAGGUACGGGCUCUGAGAGGAGUAGCCCGGAGAUGGGUACUGAGACACGGACCCAGGCCCUAUGGGGCGCAGCAGGCGAGAAAACUUUGCAAUGUGCGAAAGCACGACAAGGUUAAUCCGAGUGGUUUCUGCUAAAGGAACCUUUUGUCAGUCCUAGAAACACUAACGAAUAAGGGGUGGGCAAGUUCUGGUGUCAGCCGCCGCGGUAAAACCAGCACCUCAAGUGGUCAGGAUGAUUAUUGGGCCUAAAGCAUCCGUAGCCUGGUUUGCCAGUUUUCGGUUAAAUCCAUACGCUCAACGUAUGGGCUGCCGGGAAUACUACAAAGCUAGGGAGUGGGAGAGGUAGACGGUACUCGGUAGGAAGGGGUAAAAUCCUUUGAUCUAUUGAUGACCACCUGUGGCGAAGGCGGUCUACCAGAACACGUCCGACGGUGAGGGAUGAAAGCUGGGGGAGCAAACCGGAUUAGAUACCCGGGUAGUCCCAGCUGUAAACUAUG
rnacentral:rRNA from 1 species